UUGAAAGUGCAGGAUCUUCAGGCCAUGAGCCAACAACUGGAAAGAAUGUUUAAUCCUGGAAGCUCUGACACCAAAAGGCCUGGUUUUUUUUCAGUGUGAAAAAGCUUAAAGACUGCUUAUCCAGUCAGUCUGUGGCAAAUGAAAGAAUUAGUUGGAAUGUUUAGGACUUGCCAGUUGUAUGAUAUUUCAUAAGACAUAAGAUCUUACCCAGGAAGCCUCUGAAUGUUACCUAAAUUUAUCCUUGUGGGUAUCCUGAGCAACAGGAAAAAAAUUAAACCUUUGUCAAAUUUGAACAGCUCUUUAAAAAUAGAACUAAAUCAGGAGACAUGAAUUAAAAUAGUAUCUGCUGAAGACAAGAAAUUAUUUUAAAACUUACUUUAUGUUUCUGUAAUUUCAGAACUGUACAGUAUAAUAUUACUGAAACCUGCAGAACAAUAAUAUUGAAAGUGAAUUGUGAGUUUAAUUUAGUGUCUUAAUAAGCAUCAUACAGAUUAGUGCUAUAUUUAAUAGAGAUUAUUUUCCUUGUAUUUCUCAUGCUUCCUGGUGAGACCCACAAACAUGGAAGGAACCUCAGGUUUCCAGAGUACUGGCCAAUGAUGUUUUCUGGUUAUUGUCUCCCAUAGAUAUUCCAGACAGGAAUGCUAGCUUGAUAUUUCAGCUCCCACCAACUUUCACAGCACUCUGGUCAUCCACAGAGUGCGGCGUGAACCAGGGUGUGCUACAGUAAUAAUUCUGUACAAAUGUGUAUUGCUUGCUCUUCAAAAAGUUUGACUAGAAUGGGAAACUAAUUACAUCACUGAGGGGCAGGUGAAGAAAAUAGGCAUUUUUGGCCUUUAAGUAGUCAGGAAGUAAAAUUGAGAUUUUUCAGUGUGAGUUAUAAAGCUGGAUAUAAGACAAGUAAGCAACCUAGUAAAACUCAUUGUAAAGCCAGAUUCACAACUGGCUACUUAGGCAAACUUAAACUGCUUCGAAUUUAGAAUAAUGUUUUGGUGAAACAAAGCAUCAGGAAGCACUGAAUUGCUGGUUGGUUUUUUUGGGGUUUUUUUUUUUUUGUUUGUUUGUUUUUUUUGUUUGUUUGUUUUUUGGUUUUUUUUUUAGCCAGGCUGGCAAAUCAUCAUUCUUUAUCUCAGUGCAUUCAGCUUCCAUCCCCUACACUGAGCCUGCCAAUUCCAUGCCAGAAGUGCUGUAUUUGUGGGAACCCCAUUUCAGGGGCAUCUAUCUGGGAGCAGAGCUGCCAUUUUUUUCCCAUUUCCCCCCUCCCUUGUACUAAAUUGCAUUUUGUGUGAGAUAAUAUAUGUAAAAGGAAUAAAAAUGAAUUAACAUUUAAAACUGUAGAUACUGAAACAGAUUGAGGGAAACCAAAAUGUUAUCAAGGUCCUAGAAAUAACAAUCCUGUAAGUGGUUACUCAGUGUAUUGCAAAUGGGACACACAAUAUCACUGAAACCUGCAGAACAAUAAUCUUGAAAAUGAAUUGUGAGUUUAAUUUAAUUGUGGGUGCUGCCGGAAAUGUGAGCUUCACUAAUUUUUGUGUGGAAAGAAUAGAAUGUUUUCUUUCUUUUCAACGGGGAGGUAAUUAAUCUGAAGAUUUAGCCCUAAGGUUUAUUAGAAUACCUGUGUGUCUUCAGUAGCCAUGCUUUCAAUAUUUCUGUGAUUUACAGCUGUGACUGUGUCCUUAGCAGAGGAAGAAAGGUAAUGGAGCUUUUUCUUUUUUUUCUUUUUGCACCUUGCUCUUAUUUUUCUGCAAAUAAUGUUGCACAUUCUUGGAGCUUCGUGCUUCCUUGUGCUUUGUUUCUUGAUUGUUCUUCCAUUGGUCCAAAAAGUAUGAAGCACUGUUUGAUCUUGGUGUUCUCAUGCUGUUGCCAAGCCACAGUGAUUUUUUAAAUAGAAUUUUUAACAUUUCUGGUACAAAAGAACUGAGAUUCACAAACCUUAAGUUAUAGAAAUAUCAUCAAUCUUCUUAACAUGCAGAAAAUAUCUGUGAAAGGAGAUGUAUGACCAGUCACUGGUUUUCUUUUUAGAAAAGCAAUAUAUUAUGGAAGAAAGGGCAAGCCACGUUCUGUACUUUUGGAAGAAACCAGAUGAGCAAUUGCAGAUGAGAUAAAAUCUUAUCACUUACUAAAAACCUAAAUAGUUUUUAAGAAGCAAUUCAGGGAGGCAGUACUAAUGAAGUUAUACAGUGAUUUUUUCUGUACUGCUUUUCUGUUUUACUGGUAUUUGUGUCCUCAUUUGAAACUUCUGUGUGGGUGGAUGUCUGUGGUAAAAUGAGCCAUGCUUGGUGAUGUGUUUGCUAUCAGUGAGGGUGCAGUUUGUGGGGCUGGAGCGUGCUCAGCACCUCAGCUUAGAAUAAUUUGCUAAAUUGGAGGAAGGCACCUCUACUUAUUUGAUUCCUAAGUAGUCAGUUUUCACAUUUAUUAUUGUGUCAGCUGUAUCUUUUAUUUUAAACCAUCAAAUUAAAUAGUAGCUUAUGCUGGCUUUCUAUUUUAGUUCAUGCAUUUAAAACCUGGAAGUCAGAUAAAAAGAUAGUUUCAGAAUAAAUUCAGUAUAUUAUUUAUGAGUGGAGCAACACAUUAGCAUGGAGUUCACAAUAGAUCAUAUCGCUUUUAUUCCAUCUUACAAGCUUAGCAGCACAAACAGAAUAAUCAACAUAUUAUUUGGCUGUCAUCUGCUGAACAGAAAGCAGAGAUCACAAGGAGGUUUUCCCUAGCUGCAGUGAUGGCCUUUUUGUUCCAAGCCCCCAUCUGGGAGGGCCAUGGUGUGUUAUCAUAUGGAACGCGGGGUUUGCUGUAAUCUGCUUAGCUGCACUGCAGUUUGAAUCUUUAUUCCAUGUUUGUGUAAUUUAUAAUUUUAAUGAGACCAUGGCUCUUGUGGGCUUUGAAAUAUAUUAAAAGCUCUUUUGUGCAUAUGCUUUUGUUCUUGCUUAAUAGGCUCAGUGUAUUUAAAACUGAUGAAUUUUUAUUCAUGGAUUUGGAUGUCUGGGGAUUAACUUAGACUGAAUAUCAUUGCACUCAUCUAUUGAUGUUUGGAACUUUUUUAUACUUGUAUCUCUAAGUGGAGAAGACCUUACAGAACUUGUGUAAACAUAAAACAGCUCAGAAAUAACUAAUAAAAUCUUACUGAGCAAUGAGAAAAAAUACUGAUUACACUUUAUUUUUACUGCAUAAACUCUUGUGAAGUACCAUUUUGCUCUGAAAAAAGUCCUUGAGUCCAUGUACAUGUGUGUAUUUAGAACUUUGUAACUAAAAAGCAGUUUAGGAAAGCAGUCAACAUUUCUGCAGAAUAACAGCAGUGAUAAGCACUUGAUUUGCAUUUUUCUUCUAUUCAGGUAACUUGAAAAAGUAAAUACUGAGCACUCUCUUGUCUGACUGUGUUGCCUUUCUCCUGUUUUUUUAACACAUUUUUAAAUGCAGAGUGUGCAUAAGCUAUUUUAUUAGAAACUGAUGCUCAUUACUGGGGAGUAUUGAUAAACAUGCAGAAGGAUUCUUCACUGCUAUUUUCUGACAGUGCUAAAACUGGUCUUGUUUUUUGCUUUUUUAUUUCUCAGAUGUUCAAUGGUUUGUUUAUCGUUUGUCUGUCAGGUUUGAUUUCCUGUUUGUUUAAAGAUUUGAUACUUUGUGACUUCUGUGUUUCUAAACUACUGUGGAGCCUCUUCAAUGAUGGCAAUCUCUCUGAGACCAGCACUGGCAAUAAGAUGGAGACAAUUGUGUUUUUUUCUAAAUAGUCUUGCUGAUGGUAUACUGAAAUGUGGAGGGGUUGUUUGAUGUGGAGGGGCUUUGGGAUUUUUGUUUGUGGUGUUUUUGUUUGUGGUGUGUUUGUUGGGUUUGCUGGUUUUUACCAGCAAACCAUCCUCUUUGUAAUGACAAAAUAUUUUAAGUAAACAGCUUUUUUAGUUCUCAGUGCACAGGGGAGUUAUUCACCCCUCUUCUCUUUGCUGCUUUGAGUAUUUCCAAAAUCAUCUUUCCACAAGAUGUGUCAGCUGGGAAGUGCGGGGGACACAUGAGCCAAGGGCAACUUCAGAUUUUUUAGGGUUGUAGAUUUUUAGUGCCUAAUGUGAAAAUUAGGCUUUGUCUUACUAAACUGAAAUGAAUUUUCUAUGUUUAUACGUCUGUGUCUUAAGGCAAUGAAUGUAUUGGAAUUGGAGAUAAACACAGGUAGUUAUUUGACCAUUGUGAAACAGGCACAGCCUGUUUUUCUCAGUUACCAGAAAGGUAACUGCCAGACCUUUGGUGUUUGUCGUGACUUUGACCUUGUCAGAAGACUGUAAAGUGAAUUUUGGCAUCCCUGAGGCCCAGGCCUGCCAUGUAUGAUCAUGCCUUUGCUCAGCUGUCUGGAUUUCACUGUUCAGCAAAGAGGAGUGAAUGGAGCUGCAGAGGAGGACAAGCUUUGGAAUGCAUCUGGCCAUUAAAACAGCAUUUUAUUCAGGGUUGUGCAAGUGUUAGGAGCUGCUUCCCAAAGGAUUAAACUCCUUGUCAGCUUGAGAUCAGCAGCUGAAGGAGCUCUCGUUGGAGACAAACUGCUAGUGCCUGGUGGAGAUAGUGUGUAAAAAAGUUAGCUCUUCCAGAAUAUCACCAAGCUUCUUCACAUUUUCCAGACCAAGUCCAGUGUUUCUUCCAGAGUAAAGCAACAGCUGAAAAUAAAAAAGCAAUUCUUCUCAUCUCCAGGAUAGAGUGACCUUUUGAAAAUUGUUCUUCAUUUUGCUUUAGAUGUUCAGAAUCCUCAGAUUAUAAUUAAAAUAUUUAAAGAAUUUUGUAUAUUAAUAUUUUGUAUAUUUUUUAUCUAUUUAAAGCAUAUUUUAUAUCUAAUAUGGGAAGCAUCCAAAUAAACAAGAUACACACACUUCAUUCUUCUAGCACAUGUAACAUCAGUUUCAUGCAGAAGUUUUAAAAUAAUACUUUAAUAUAAAUAACAGCUCAAACAUAAAUAUUUAAAUAGCCUAGUCAGUGUGCAGGUUUUUUUUGGUUUGGGGUUUUGGAUUGUUUUUUAUAGUAAUCUCAGAGUAAUUUGGUGGGAAAGAGGUGGUGCAUAGAGAAAGGUGUCUGGUAAGAAGUGGAGAAGGUUAGCAGAAGAGUUUGUUAGGGAAGGAAAAACUGAUAAUCUCUCACUACAUAUUCAGUGGCAUACAUUACUUCACUACAAUUCACAACAUAUUCAGUUCCAGAAUUGGGAAAAAUUAUAUAAAGCAAAUGCUACCAGAAUUUUUUUAUGAAAGUGAAAAAUCUGUUUAGUGCCAAGUGCAGUGAUUUGUUUAGUCACACUUUCAGUGGCUGCAACUUUGAUUUUCCUGUUUUUAAAAAUUCAGCGCCAUGUCUUAAAUUGUCUUACACAAUGCUGUUGGUUUUCUGGAAAUGAUAAAUCUGCUCAUUGAUUUUCUAAUUUUAUUAUGUACACAGCUAAUUGUAAUCCAAGAUUACAGCAAACAAGAUGUUAAUUUCUACACAACCUAUGUACAUUUCCCUCAGAGUGCGAGUGCUACAGAAGCAAAGAGUACAAAGAGAAUACCAUUUGUGCUAUCCUCACAGGAGCUGUCAAUAAAAGAUGUAAUAGGGGAUUUAGGAAUCUGGAAAUGGCCAACUAAUUUAUGUGAAUCUAUUUUAUUUCAGCUAGAAAGCCCAAGCUCUGUUUCGUCUGCACUGCAUAUUGCAGAGCACAGGCUGUCUAUAGAAAACCAGGCGGCUGCAUAUGGAUAGUCCCUUGAUAUCAUUCACUUGCUGUGUAAUCUUAUUAUGCAAAGUUCUAAUCUUCACCUAGAAUGAAUGCCUCUGGGUCAGAAUAUAGUCAUAUCAGGGUUUUUGAGGUCAUGUUUUGUGAUCCUUAGCUUAUUCUUCUAAGUAGAGCUGGGAUUUAAAGAGUAUUCCCCAGACACUGGCAGAGAUAGACGGCAAAACCUGCUGCCUUUUUGGAAGACAAGACCAACAUGAGGUCCCUGGUAGGAUUAAACUUGAUUUGUAGCUGUAGGAUUUUUUAACAGAUGUAUUAUUGGACAGGGAAUAGGGGGCCACCAGCACAGCGAAAUUGGAUCACAAUUGGCAUUCUCAGGGAGUCCGCUGGCUGCUAAAACAGCAGCUGCAUGUGGAUUUGACUUCUUUCAGGUGAAGCGACUUCCAGUCAUUUGGAAAGGAUGGGAUGAAAAGGAACCUUGGUGAUAAUUUUGAUGUCUGCAAGAUUUAGUACCAAUGUAAUGGGAUUAUCGGUAACACCUUCGCUGCAGAAAAAGCCACCUGGCGCUAUAACUGGCAGCAACUGAGAACUAAUCCUUUCCCAUCUCUUGGAUGUCAUUCAUGAGGCUCAAAGUGAUUUCUACCCUGCUAGCUGUGAUUAAUUUUAUAAACAAACAAACAAAAACCCGAGUGAUGAAAGCAUAGGCUAUGGAAGGAAGAGGGAGCAGAAUAUACUAGUAAUUACAUUUUGCAUAUUAUUUGCUGUGUAUUUUACAACUAUACAGUUGUGGUAAAGUAACCAAAUUAUGUUUUCUGUGAUAAAUAUGGAUGUGUGACCUUUUUUAAGCAGUGUUGAUUUCAGUAGCAAUUUUUCAGAUACCUGCUAUAUGAUAGUACGUAGUACCUGGAAGUAAUUACAACGGGUUUUAGGCCAUUAGUUCUGCAAUAAGGAUGUUUAUACUACAGAGCCAUUAAGUUUUCAAGGGGCCUGUGACUUAAAUAAUUUGUUUUAUUGUGCUUAAUGGUCUUAUGUUCGAUCUGGUGGAGUUGCCUGCUUAUGGUACUUUGUAUUAAAAUUGUGUGAUGUGGAAAACUGUUCAGCUGUUUACUUCCUUGUGAUCAACAAUAUGACAUUGUUUCAAAAAUAUAAUGAUACGAAGUUUUCAGAGGAAACAAUUCUAUUUUAAUGAUGCUCAAGUUAGUAUUCCUGGGUGGAUUUUUUUUUUCUUUUUAAAUAAACUAGUUUGGUCUGGUAGUUUUUUUACUGGACUUGCUAUGACCAGUUAUUAACUAGAAGUUGUUACUUAAAACUACAUGGAAACUUUAGGAUUUUAGUUAUUUGGAAUGAAUGUUAGAUAUCUAAAGAUAAGCCUUAACAUUUAAAACACCCUCCCAUCCUCAGGAGGUACCUUGCCAUGGUCAGAUUGUAUAAUCGAGGUAUAUAUGUGUCUUCAUUUUAAACUAACUUUCUUGGGUAGUAGUUGAAAGCUUUUAAAAGGUAAUUUUUUUUUAUUGUUAUCGUAAAAUCUGAUAAGCUUGAGCACUUAAAAAAAUCCUUUGUACUACAUUUAUAAGAAGGGGUUGGUGAAAUCUAUGUCUCAGGAGUUAAGAAUUUAUUUUAAGAGAACUGGGAAUAAAAUUUGAGAGCUUUUCAUUCAUGUUCUGUCCUUGUGGUUAUCUUUUUACCAUGGCAGCUCUGGCAGCACGCAAAGCUCACUGAGCCCUGGGUUUCCCUGAAUAGCUCCCAAAUCUACUCACAAGCAUCCCAGGGACACACAUGUCCAGGGUAACUGUCCCUGUUUGUGUCACCCAAAAUCCAAAAGGAAACAGCUUGCAAUCACUUUGAAACUUGUUUUCUGAGAUGUAGAGCUGUUGUUUCGAGUUUCAUAAUAAAAACAUUUUAGUUACAACCUGACAGCUCCUGGCAUGGGAGGUUUGCACAUUCUUUUGAUGUUGUUACUCUUUAUUUGUCCCAGUUUGAUCUAUAUACUCUGGGCAUUGUAAUGCAUUGUUUGUAAAUGCUUUUUUACCUGCAAUACCCACAGGUACCUAAAUUCCCUACUAUCUUAAUAUGUUAAUGUAAGGUUUUUGAAUACCAAGGGUCAAAAGUAGAGGAUGCUUGUGCAGUAUUUUUCUUUCUCCCUGAACUGAGAAGCAACAUGAGGCUCCUUUCUAGUAGGUGCUGUUAAGAAGGAUUGAUGAUGGACUUCUCUCAAAACGUAGUUUUGGAUUCACCUACUUCUGCAAUGCAGAUUCAUCUGCUGUGCCCCCACUUUCCUUCUGUGACCUGUCUCACAUUUCUGGGCUCUCAGUGUGUCUGGCCUAAGAGUAAGGCAUUAGUUGGUGCUAUUUGGGUGUACUGAAUUGAGAAGAAGCAACCACUUCUGUGCCUCACCAGAAUGGAUUCUGCUGAAAGUGCAUUCCCCUUCCAGGGGAGCAGCUCCAGUUCCUGCAGCGUGUCCUGCAGCGUGCUGGGUGCUGCAUCUGUCAGACACAAUUCAAGACUUUUCUGUUUUCCAUUGUAUUUUGGGUUAUUACUGCGAAAAUGGUCAGAUAGUGAAUGAAGUUUAUGUAGAUAAAAAUGUAUGUCUCUUUUGGAACAAGGAAUUGAACUUGUUGGAGAAUAUUUGCAAUUAUUUGCAAUAAUGGUUGUCUUUUGAAUGUAGUCAGGUAAAACUCCCAUUAAAUUCUAGUGAGAGUGAAAAUAAAGCCAUGAACCUGUAAAUUCCUAUCUUUAAUUAGUGAAAUGCAAUGAAAUGUCUAUUUCAUUUGAAGUGGCCAUAUUUUACACAGCAUUUUUCCUUUUUUUUUCUUUCAACGUACUGUAUUUGCUCAGCAAACUCUAUUGACCCAUCUUAGUAAAAGAGGGAAAUCUUGCAGUGGUUUUAGUUCAUGAUAAGGCAACACUGAGUUUAAGGGGAACAGGUGUUUUGCAGAACGUAAAGCUUGCUUCAAUUACUUCAGUAUAUUUUCCACUUCCUUAAGUGUAACCACCACAUUUUGAUAAGGAAA